CCGUCGAUAACAAUACUGUUCCAGUGCGAGCGAGAGGAAAGUUAUAUGCGCAAUUUCCGUGUACCGCGAUCGGAAUCGGCUUCUCCUGCAUAGGAGUGAGCGGUACAACAAUAAGUUGCUUGGUUUUGCUUGCAACCGAUAGCGCUUGAGCCGGUUGAUUCGUAAAAUGUAAUAAACUAUGAUGUUGUUUAUGACACGCUCUACCAUAGAGUAAGUAUUGUAACUGGAGUGCUUACUUUGUUUAACAUAAAAACUAAAAAUAUACUUUAUAUCUGUGAUUUAAAGCUUAUUUUUAAAUAUCAAAAGAUCUAAGGAAAAACGGUCUGAAAAGAGAAUGAUUAUAAAGUGGUGGUGUCCCUCUCGCACAUAUUACAAACAAAAAGCAGUACUGCUAGCUUAGUGGAUUUUCCACAAAAUCUUGUAUAUUGGACCCCUGUCUUAGUUAUCAAAAAUGGCUUUUAGUGGUUAGUGGAUUUUCUAGUAGGUUGGGAGUUGUUGAAAAUUAUCGAAAAGAUUAAAAUCAAUCCAAUUUUGAUUCCGAUACAUAAUUGUUAUUUGUUUAGUUUUACAGGAUUUCCAACUUUUUAUGACAAUAAUAUAUUAUUAUCUAAAUACAUAUUAUUUUAACGGCUAUCUUAUGAAUACGAUGUGACUUAGGCUUAACCAGAAAAUGCUGCGACAAUUUAGAAUUUCCAUCAACGUCAAAAAUGAAAUAGGUUCAAAAGAAACAUACAUAAGUAAAAUAAAUGUGUGCGUGUACUAGUGUACACACGUAAGAAGUGAAACUUGUUUAUGGCCUUAUUUUUCGAAAAAUGAUCUACAUGCAACUUUCUAGAAAUUGGUUAAAUAAAGUUAAAUUAGAUAAAGUUUAAACAAAAGGAUUUUAUUAUCAUAGACAUGAAUACAAAAAAGUUAAAUUAGAUAAAGUUUAAACAAAAGGAUUUUAUUGAAGUGAAACUUCCUUAUCGGCGUUGGAAAAAAAUUUACCGUCACAUUUUUCGGUUACGCGUCACUUUUUUCCGUUACGCGCCAUCUGUUUUGUAUUCAUGUCUAUGAUAAUAAAAUCCUUUUGUUUAAACUUUAUCUAAUUUAACUUUUUUUUGUAUUCAUGUCUAUGAUAAUAAAAUCCUUUUGUUUAAACUUUAUCUAAUUUAACUUUAUUUAACCAAUUUCUAGAAAGUUGCAUGUAGAUCAUUUUUCGAAAAAUAAGGCCAUAAACAAGUUUCACUUCUUACGUGUGUACACUAGUACACGCACACAUUUUUUAUCAUAGACAUGAAUACAAAACAGAUGGCGCGUAACGGAAAAAAGUGACGCGUAACCGAAAAAUGUGACGGUAAAUUUUUUUCCAACGCCGAUAAGGAAGUUUCACUUCAAAAAAAAUGUGUGCGUGUACUAGUGUACACACGUAAGAAGUGAAACUUGUUUAUGGCCUUAUUUUUCGAAAAAUGAUCUACAUGCAACUUUCUAGAAAUUGGUUAAAUAAAGUUAAAUUAGAUAAAGUUUAAACAAAAGGAUUUUAUUAUCAUAGACAUGAAUACAAAAAUGUGUGCGUGUACUAGUGUACACACGUAAGAAGUGAAACUUAUUUAUGGCCUUAUUUUUCGAAAAAUGAUCUACAUGCAACUUUCUAGAAAUUGGUUAAAUAAAGUUAAAUUAGAUAAAGUUUAAACAAAAGGAUUUUAUUAUCAUAGACAUGAAUACAAAAAAGUUAAAUUAGAUAAAGUUUAAACAAAAGGAUUUUAUUAUCAUAGACAUGAAUACAAAACAGAUGGCGCGUAACGGAAAAAUGUGACGCGUAACCGAAAAAUGUGACGGUAAAUUUUUUUCCAACGCCGAUAAGGAAGUUUCACUUCAAAAAAAUGGCGCGUAACGGAAAAAUGUGACGCGUAACCGAAAAAUGUGACGGUAAAUUUUUUUCCAACGCCGAUAAGGAAGUUUCACUUCAAAAAAAAUGUGUGCGUGUACUAGUGUACACACGUAAGAAGUGAAACUUGUUUAUGGCCUUAUUUUUCGAAAAAUGAUCUACAUGCAACUUUCUAGAAAUUGGUUAAAUAAAGUUAAAUUAGAUAAAGUUUAAACAAAAGGAUUUUAUUAUCAUAGACAUGAAUACAAAAAAGUUAAAUUAGAUAAAGUUUAAACAAAAGGAUUUUAUUAUCAUAGACAUGAAUACAAAACAGAUGGCGCGUAACGGAAAAAAGUGACGCGUAACCGAAAAAUGUGACGGUAAAUUUUUUUCCAACGCCGAUAAGGAAGUUUCACUUCAAAAAUGUGUGCGUGUACUAGUGUACACACGUAAGAAGUGAAACUUGUUUAUGGCCUUAUUUUUCGAAAAAUGAUCUACAUGCAACUUUCUAGAAAUUGGUUAAAUAAAGUUAAAUUAGAUAAAGUUUAAACAAAAGGAUUUUAUUAUCAUAGACAUGAAUACAAAAAAGUUAAAUUAGAUAAAGUUUAAACAAAAGGAUUUUAUUAUCAUAGACAUGAAUACAAAACAGAUGGCGCGUAACGGAAAAAAGUGACGCGUAACCGAAAAAUGUGACGGUAAAUUUUUUUCCAACGCCGAUAAGGAAGUUUCACUUCAAAAAUGAUGGUGAAAUGAUUUUUCUGAUGAUGACAAUUUAUUAAAACUAGAGGUCCCGCAGUAGUCGAAAUUCGACUAUAAUUAAUUGGAAUUGUAAGUUUGUACACUAUUAUGAUUGUAUUUUAUACUUCUACUAGCUGACCCGGCAAACGUUAUGUUGCCUUAAAUAAUAUUUCUAGGGAAAUUCUAGUGUAGAAAAAUUCAACCACAUAAUACCUCAUUAUAACAAAAAAAAAAACCAAAAAAUGUAAAUAAAAAAAUAAAUUUUGGGGUGGACAACCAUUAUCACUUAGGGGUAUGAAAAAUAGAUAGUACCUAACCGAUUCUCAGAUCUACUGAACAUACUAUUGAUAUACAAAUAAAACCAAAAAAACA